rnacentral:lncRNA from 1 species
GGAGCAGCUGCGUGGACUUCUGGUACUUUCUGAUUUCCCGCAGCGCCAGGGUGCCAGGCUUGUAGCGCUCCCCAUUCACAGGAUUCUCGAGGCUAAUGCACCAUUCUUCUCUCAACCAGGAAGCACCAGAACAAUGCCUGAGCAUGCGUGGACCUCAGAGCUCCAAAUAUGAUGAGAGGCAGUCUGGAACUCUAGUUCAAGUGAUUUGCCAGGUCGGCCACCCAAAAUGCUGGGAUAACAGGAAUAAGCCACUGUGCACGGUCUGAGAUACAAAUAUGAUUGAAAGGGAUGAUCAAACAGGCUGCUGCCUUCAUCUGGGUGUAACCAAUGUAAGAUGUAAGAAAGAUGUUAAAUCACGGGUAAGUCCAGGAUGGGCUGAGAUACUGAAGCUCCAGCAUAGAAAGUGUGCUCUCAUAGAAAGACUAGAAGCAGUA